rnacentral:lncRNA from 13 species
UGAAUCUACUUCCUGUAAGAAUUUGUGUUAUAUUUUUACUUGUUUUCUCCAUCAAUUAGACUUCAGGUGAGGAAAAAAUACAAACUGUUACUAAAUUUCUCUGUUACACAGCUAAGUUCAAUGCUCAGCUCAGCUAUGUCUGAACUGCGUGAUCAACAAAGGCAGCAUUAAGGUCCUCUGGUAUUUAGAGGGUAUUUUAUCUGUCAAUGAAGGAAGAAAGGGAAAAAGAAAUAGUAUCUUAAUUUUUAAAAAGCUGUCUUUUCCUCGCUCCACCUGAUUCAUCACCUAGGUAUAUUGUGCUUAAUAAUGAGACUAUUUUCUUUAGAAAGCAGAAGCAGCAUUGCUAUAUUUUUGUCAAAACACAAUGACUUUUUUAUUUCUAUUACACAGGCUUCAGCUGCCCAUUUGGAACAUCACUGCAGAGAGCAGAUAUCUUCUAUAAUUCACCAUAACACCAGCAGCUGGAACAGAUCGCAGAUUCAUAUGAUUUGGUUCUACUGCAUUCAUCACUUGGAAAAAUGCACAGCUGUGUUAAAGGAAGACAGAAAGAAUUUGUCUGCCCAGUGGGAAGCUAUUGCUGUUCCAUAAUUGUUUGCUAAAAGGAAGCUGGAAUAAAAAUGGAGGUAAAUGGAUAUCAGUGUCAAUCCAAUCCAUCAAAAUGAGUUUAACUGACUGGGGAGUCACAGUUAAGUAGCUGGAUGUGAAAGCUGGCAAACCCAAGAUGAAAGGAAAUAAUUAGCUACUUUAAAUAUUUUGCAUCUUUAAAAAUAUGUCUGAUUGCAUCACCUUCAACACCAAAAAAAAAAAAAAAAAGUAGAACU